GACAUAGGUCGCAAACGUUAUCCGGAAUUAUUGGGCGUAAAGGGUGCGUAGAUGGUUUAAUAAGUUAUCAGUGAAAGCAGGGCCUAACCUUGCGGCAGCGGGUAAUACUGUUAGACUAGAGGAAAGGAGAGGUUAACGGAAUUCCAUGUGUAGCGGUAAAAUGCGUCAAUAUAUGGAGGAACAUCAAAAAAGGCGAAGGCAGUUAACUAUUCUUGUCCUGACAUUGAGGCACGAAAGCGUGGGGAGCAAAACGG
rnacentral:rRNA from 1 species